rnacentral:misc_RNA from 1 species
GAUGAAGAACGUAGCGAAAUGCGAUACUUGGUGUGAAUUGCAGAAUCCCGUGAACCAUCGAGUCUUUGAACGCAAGUUGCGCCCGAAGCCACUAGGCCGAGGGCACGCCUGCCUGGGCGUCACACGCCGUUGCCCCCCCAUCUACUCCUUCGGGAUUGCGGGGGGGCGGAUGAUGGCCUCCUGUGCGCCUAGCCGCGCGGUUGGCAUAAAUACCAAGUCCUCGGCGACGCACGCCACGACAAUCGGUGGUUGCGAAACCUCGGUUGCCCGUCGUGUGCGUUCGUCGCGCAUCGAGGGCUCGAAAAAAUGCUCGGCUCCGGCUGGGCUUUCAACGCGACCCCAGGUCAGGCGGGGAUACCCGCUGAAUUUAAGCAUAUCAAUAAGCGGAGGA